rnacentral:rRNA from 1 species
ACACUCCUACGGGAGGCAGCAGUGGGGAAUAUUGGACAAUGGGCGCAAGCCUGAUCCAGCCAUGCCGCGUGAGUGAUGAAGGCCCUAGGGUUGUAAAGCUCUUUCACCGGUGAAGAUAAUGACGGUAACCGGAGAAGAAGCCCCGGCUAACUUCGUGCCAGCAGCCGCGGUAAUACGAAGGGGGCUAGCGUUGUUCGGAUUUACUGGGCGUAAAGCGCACGUAGGCGGACUAUUAAGUCAGGGGUGAAAUCCCGGGGCUCAACCCCGGAACUGCCUUUGAUACUGGUAGUCUUGAGUUCGAGAGAGGUGAGUGGAAUUCCGAGUGCAGAGGUGAAAUUCGUAGAUAUUCGGAGGAACACCAGUGGCGAAGGCGGCUCACUGGCUCGAUACUGACGCUGAGGUGCGAAAGCGUGGGGAGCAAACAGGAUUAGAAACCCCGGUAGUCCCA